rnacentral:rRNA from 1 species
AGAGUUUGAUCAUGGCUCAGGAUGAACGCUAGCGGCAGGCCUAAUACAUGCAAGUCGAACGGUAACAUUGGUGCUUGCACCAGAUGACCAGUGGCGCACGGGUGCGUAACGCGUAUGCAACCUACCUUUUACUACAGUAUAGCCCAGAGAAAUUUGGAUUAAUCCUCUAUAACAUCUUUUAAUUUCAUGAUUUUAAGAUUAAAGUUUUAACGGUAAAAGAUGGGCAUGCGUCCUAUUAGUUUGUAGGUGAGGUAACGGCUCACCUAUACUACCAUAGGUAGGGGCCCUGAGAGGGGGAUCCCCCACACUGGUUCUGAGACACGGACCAUACUCCUACGGGAGGCAGUACUAAGGAAUAUUCGACAUGGACGAAAGUCUGAUCCAUCCCUGCCGCGUGCAGGAUGACAGCCCC